AAAAUGCUCCGACGUUUUCAUGCUUUGUGGCAGCUUUAGAACAUCUGUGGCAUCUAUUAAUGUCAAAUCUAGCCUUUAUUUAACAUCAUAAGCAAACUCUAUGUUACAAUGAUUGCACAGCCAUUAAGGAUCAAAUCAGUUUCUGAAAAAUGUUCUGUUUUUUCUCCCUCUGCUUGCUUCUUUCUGUCUUUGAGGCUCGGGACCAGCACUCCUGCUGUUGGACAGAAAGACAUCAACUCAGUGACUUGAGAUAUGACUGCACUAUGCUGUUGCUGGUGACUCCAGUUAAUUCUACAAGACAUGCUGUGACAACAGGAGAGAUGAGUCCUCCAUCACAGAUGGUCAGUGAAGGUGGUCACCUGCAGGUUCAAGCUCAUUGCAUCUCCAACCCACAUCCACUGCCACUGUACUUAAGGGAAGUUAAAGACUUUCUUCUGCACCUACAUUUGAAUCACCUCGAUCCAUGACAGUCAUUCAGGCAGUAAUGCCUGGACUGGAAACAAGCCAUCCUUAAAAUAAUACAACAUUCCAGCUCCUGUGUUGGAAUGAAAAACAAAUGUGUUGUUUAAAUUAGAGACUGCACUUGU